ACCAAACACAGCAUAAAUGUUCCUAUAGUACUACAACUUCAAUUGCUGAAUUCUUUGAUUGCUAUAGGGUAAGCAACAUUUGUGAAGAGGCAUCAUGCUAGUGAAUUCGAGAACCAUGAAUUGUGUCAUCAUCAAAACAUUUGAAGAGCAUAUUUAUGAGACGCCAUUCUAAUUUGUAUAGACAAUUCUAUGAGGCCAAUUCUAGCAAUUACAAGGAACUUACAAGAACUCGAUAUGGGCAUUGACUUCCACAAAUAUUACUGAAGUCGCUUUUCAUGGAUAUGAAGAUUACCUUUUUUUGGAUAUGUAAAUAUUGUAUUUGUUUAAUUUUUGUUUAUGAUAUUAUGAUAAUGAUAUGGACUUUGUCAAAAUAGGAACAAUGUUUUCAUUUUAUUUUAUUGGUAAAGAACAAUAUUGCUAUAUUUGUAUCAAUUGUAAUUACAUUUAAUAAAUGAAAUUUUAUUUGUUUA